rnacentral:rRNA from 1 species
UACGUAGGGUGCAAGCGUUAAUCGGAAUUACUGGGCGUAAAGCGUGCGCAGGCGGUGAUGUAAGACAGAUGUGAAAUCCCCGGGCUCAACCUGGGAACUGCAUUUGUGACUGCAUCGCUGGAGUACGGCAGAGGGGGAUGGAAUUCCGCGUGUAGCAGUGAAAUGCGUAGAUAUGCGGAGGAACACCGGUGGCGAAGGCGGCGACCCGGGUCGAUACUGACGCUGAUGCGCGAAAGCGUGGGGAGCAAACAGG